GUUUUAGUGGCGAACGGGUGAGUAACACGUAAGCAACCUACCCUAAAGACGAGGAUAACCAUUGGAAACAGUGGCUAAGACUGGAUAGGAAGAUAAAAGGCAUCUUUUAUCUUUUAAAAGACCUAGUAAUAGGUAUGCUUUAGGAGGGGCUUGCGCCAUAUUAGUUAGUUGGUAGGGUAAUGGCCUACCAAGACGAUGAUGUGUAGCUGGACUGAGAGGUUGAACAGCCACAUUGGGACUGAGACACGGCCCAAACUCCUACGGGAGGCAGCAGUAGGGAAUUUUCGGCAAUGGAGGAAACUCUGACCGAGCAACGCCGCGUGAAUGACGAAGUACUUCGGUAUGUAAAGUUCUUUUAUCAAGGAAGAAAAGCAAAUGGCGAACCAUUUGUUUGCCGGUACUUGAUGAAUAAGCCCCGGCUAAUUAUGUGCCAGCAGCCGCGGUAAGACAUAAGGGGCAAGUGUUAUCCGGAAUUAUUGGGCGUAAAGGGUGCGUAGGCGGUCUAGUAAGUCAGUGGUGUAAUGGCAACGCUUAACGUUGUCCGGCUAUUGAAACUGCUAAACUUGAGUUAGAUAGAGGCGAGUGGAAUUCCAUGUGUAGCGGUAAAAUGCGUAAAUAUAUGGAGGAACACCAGAGGCGUAGGCGGCUCGCUGGGUCUUAACUGACGCUGAGGCACGAAAGCGUGGGGAGCAAACAGGAUUAGAUACCCUGGUAGUCCACGCCGUAAACGAUGAGUACUAAGUGUCGGGUUAAACCGGUACUGAAGUUAACACAUUAAGUACUCCGCCUGAGUAGUACGUACGCAAGUAUGAAACUUAAAGGAAUUGACGGGACUCCGCACAAGCGGUGGAUCAUGUUGUUUAAUUCGAAGAUACCCGAAAAACCUUACCAGGUCUUGACAUGUUUUUGCAAAAUGAUAGUAAUAUCGUGGAGGUUACCAGAAACACAGGUGGUGCAUGGUUGUCGUCAGCUCGUGUCGUGAGAUGUUAGGUUAAGUCCUAAAACGAGCGAAACCCUUAUCGUUAGUUGCCAGCACGUUAUGGUGGGGACUUUAACGAGACUGCCAAUGAUAAAUUGGAGGAAGGUGAGGAUCACGUCAAAUCAGCAUGCCCCUUAUGACCUGGGCUACAAACGUGAUACAAUGGCUGUUACAAAGGGUAGCUGAAACGCAAGUUCUUGGCCAAUCCCCAAAAACAGUCCCAGUCCGGAUUGAAGUCUGCAACUCGACUUCAUGAAGUUGGAAUCGCUAGUAAUCGCGAAUCAGCAUGUCGCGGUGAAUACGUUCUCGGGGUUUGUACACACCGCCCGUCAAACCACGAAAGUUGGCAAUACCCCAAAACGGUAGCCUAACUCGUUUAUUCGAGAGGGCGCCGUCUAAGGUAGGGUCGAUGAUUGGGGUUAAGUCGUAACAAGGUAUCCCUAC
rnacentral:rRNA from 1 species